GACGAACGCUGGCGGCGUGCUUAACACAUGCAAGUCGAACGGAAAGGCCCUGCUUGCAGGGGACUCGCGUGGCGAACGGGUGUGUAACACGUGGGUGUUCCGUCCUGCACUUCGUGAUAAGCCUUGGAAACUGGGUCUAAUAUCGGGUAGAGGAGCUCUUGCGGGAUAUGGGUGGAAGGAUUGUUCGGUGUGGGAUGGGUGCGCGGCCUGUUUGCUUGGUGGUGGGGUAAUGGGCUACCCAGGAGGGGUCGGGUAGGCGGCCUGGGAGGGUGGACGGCCCCAUUGGGACUGAGAUUCGGGCCCGACCCCCACGGGGGGCAGGAGGGGGGGAUAUUGCCCCAUUGGGGCGAGCCUGAUGCAGCGACGCCGGGUGGGGGAUGACGGGCUUCCGGUUGUAAACUCCUUUCGGUAGGGACCGAGCUUUUUGUGACGGUACCGAGAAAAGAAGCACCGGCUAACUACGUG
rnacentral:rRNA from 1 species